rnacentral:rRNA from 1 species
AAUUCGAUGCAACGCGAAAACCUUACCUACCUUGACAUGUCCGGAAUCCCGAAGAGAUUUGGGAGUGCUCGCAAGAGAACCGGAACACAGGUGCUGCAUGGCUGUCAUCAGCUCGUGUCGUGAGAUGUUGGGUUAAGUCCCGCAACGAGCGCAACCCUUGUCAUUAGUUGCCAUCAUUUGGUUGGGCACUCUAAUGAGACUGCCGGUGACAAACCGGAGGGAAAGGUGGGGAUGACGUCAAGUCCUCAUGGCCCUUAUGGGUAGGGCUUCACACGUCAUACAAUGGUCGGUACAGAGGGUUGCCAACCCGCGAGGGGGAGCUAAUCCCACAAAGCCGAUCGUAGUCCGGAUCGCAGUCUGCAACUCGACUGCGUGAAGUCGGAAUCGCUAGUAAUCGCAGAUCAGCAACGCUGCGGUGAAUACGUUCCCGGGCCUU